rnacentral:rRNA from 1 species
CCUACGGGUGGCAGCAGUGGGGAAUAUUGCACAAUGGGGGAAACCCUGAUGCAGCGACGCCGCGUGAGUGAAGAAGUAUUUCGGUAUGUAAAGCUCUAUCAGCAGGGAAGAAAAUGACGGUACCUGACUAAGAAGCCCCGGCUAACUACGUGCCAGCAGCCGCGGUAAUACGUAGGGGGCAAGCGUUAUCCGGAUUUACUGGGUGUAAAGGGGGCGCAGACGGCAAUGCAAGCCAGGAGUGAAAGCCCGGGGCCCAACCCCGGGACUGCUCUUGGAACUGCAUGGCUGGAGUACAGGAGGGGCAGGCGGAAUUCCUAGUGUAGCGGUGAAAUGCGUAGAUAUUAGGAGGAACACCGGUGGCGAAGGCGGCCUGCUGGACUGUGACUGACGUUGAGGCCCGAAGGCGUGGGGAGCAAACAGGAUUAGAUACCCGAGUAGUC